rnacentral:rRNA from 1 species
UACAUAGGGUGCAAGCGUUGUCCGGAAUUAUUGGGCGUAAAGAGCUCGUAGGUUGUUUGUUACGUCGGAUGUGAAAACCUGAGGCUCAACCUCAGGCCUGCAUUCGAUACGGGCAAACUAGAGUUUGGUAGGGGAGACUGGAAUUCCUGGUGUAGCGGUGGAAUGCGCAGAUAUCAGGAGGAACACCAAUGGCGAAGGCAGGUCUCUGGGCCAAUACUGACACUGAGGAGCGAAAGUCUGGGGAGCGAACAGG